UUUAACCUUUUUAAAAUGUGGUUAAUAGAAAAUCUUAAAUUACAAAUGCGGUUUAUAUUACAUUUCUCUUGGACAGUGUUGCAGAACCUGUUCCUUCAUCUGUAAAAUGAAGUUUUGAGAACACAUGUAAAGUGCUCAAAUCAGUGAGUGUCCCACAAAUGUUUGUGUUCCUCCCCCACCACUUUUUCUCAACAGAACACCCAAGUCUCCUGACUUUCAUGUGCGUGAAUAUCCAGAGACUUUAAAAGAACUAUUAUUCCUCUAUUUCCGUUCAGAUUUCUCUUUAGUAGAGACAUUUUUUUAGUCAUGUGUUUUUUGAAAUCUUAUGAUGUAUAGUGUGUAAAUAGCAAGUCAGACAGUGGAAACUUGAGCCAAGAUCCUGAAACUGCCUCGCCCAAAGCAGAGGGAUUAGAGAAUGCACGCUUUCAUAAACUCGCCACAGACGCUGGGGAAAGAUAGACCGGCAUGGAGGCAGGAAACGCACACGAGGUAAUUCAUUGCUAUUGAAGCUCCCUGGAGCAGCAAUCUGGCUAUGAUAUGAAUUAUUCAUGGAUGCCCCCGUGGCACCCUUAUGUUGAAGGUUGACGUCAGGGUAGGACCCGUACUCCCCUCUCAGACCCCCAUGCUGAGCACUGUGUACAGGGUCAACACCCCAUCCUAGAAUCGACUCUCUUCCAAGCAAGCCCAGAGACUGGGAGGUCAGCCACUACAAUUAAGUUUCCUUGUCCAGCCGCCAGAAGAUGGAUGAAUUCAUCCAGCAGCCAGCCCAGUGCUCCUGAGUGAAGAGCUCAAGAUAAUUUAUGGAAUUGAUUUAUGCUGCUCCUCUUUCCACAAGAAUUCAUGGUGGCUGUAUAAUAUAAGUGGUCUUUUGUUGAAUUUACAAAAUCGUUCUCUAAUUUCAUGUUUCAGAUGUUUCAGUUGGGAAUGACAAAUUCAUACGCUAUAGGGCUCAAGCAGUUACAACGACGAGGAAGAAGGCAACAGGGAGUGGUGUGGACUGGUCCAAAGUGGAGAAUGCUGCCCCAUCUCUCUCCAGACAGCAAGAGAGGAGAGCAAGCAUGAACUGGAGUGAUUAACGGCUCUUUUCUGACCACAUGCCCUCAUCUGUAAGACAAUGUGGGGAAAGCCCCCUUUCUAUGUUUUAUUUUGCAUUCCCAGGAUAUGGCCAAGGUGGCAGGGACAUAGGAGAGAAGAGGGGAGGAAUUCCAGGUUGAGAUCCAGAAGUCCUCUCCUUUGAUUUAAGGCAGUGCUAGAGCAGUUAAAGACAUGUCCGACCCGUCUCCAUACAUCCUUCUCUCUGCCCUGCUCCCAGCUCUCCCAGUACCCACCGUCUUUGGGAACACUCUCCCUUUUUGGGGGCUUGUUCUGUGAUGAGGGCCCACUGCCUCCUAAUGAUCUCCCCCAUUCAACCAGAUACUUCAUCUUUGAUGACAUGCCCCAAGGUCCUGAAGAAACCUAGGCUUUCUGCACAAGUAACCAAAACUUUUCAGUAGAAUUCAGUUAGGCAACUGGCUAUUUUGAGCCUAACAGGCAGUUUGUUUGGUUUUUGUGUGUGUUUGUUUCUUUACUAUUGAGAAAGUCACAAAUUGACUUCUGUCCAUAAGAAGCAGAUCCAGACCAUUUCUUUAUUAAUGCUUGGAGUCAAAAUUUUGAGAACUACAAUAUAACUAUAAAAGACAUUAAAGCUCUUUUUAAGGAAUCGAAAGAAGACAGCUGUCUUUUCAGGAAACGAAUUGAGAAACACUCAGUGAAGCAACAUUUACUUCCACCUGUGCAGAAACCCUGACACACAGCAGGAAGUCUGCCGUGUUUGUGUACUCAUGGGCCACACCAUGAGUAGACAGAACGCUGAUGGUGGCAAGGAUCAGACUGGGUUCUGCCACAGUAUAUCUACUUUACUCAUAAAAAUACAGGAAGAGCAACUUCCUGUAUGAUACUAUAACCUGGCAGAUGAAACGUGAUACAAAGUGCAGAGUUUUACAGCUGUUUGGAGAGAUCGGGCACCCACACAGAAUUCGUUCUUUUAAGACUUUUGUUCUCUCAGUCUUGGGGCUUGUGGGACUUCCUUAGAUUUUUGCAGCUAAUGACAUCAAUACAGACACUUCAGAAUCUCUGUAGGAAACAGGGGAACAGCCUGUUCCCCACCUUUGAGGAUGUGGGUAUGACUGUGUUUUGUAUUUGAGGGCACAUGUUUUUGCCUCCAAAUUUUGUUUUGGUCAGCACACCCCGACUUACAUUUGGUGUCUGGGAUCUCCCAAGCUGCCUAUCUUCAGAGCACGGAUUCUGUGCUCUGAGCAUGCUGUGCUCUCCCCAUGCUCUAGCAGACUGGGGCAUACUUCUGUGGCCCCACACUUUUUACCUGGGCUUCAUCUAGCACCCCUUGAGUUCUGCUUUAGUGCAUGCUACCUGGCCUGUGUUUUCUGAUGCGGAGCAUGUCUUGAUGCAUGAGAUUUUGUGUUCUGGAUACACAUCACUUCCCAAUCCCAUGAUCUGAGGAGUUUAUAGCUUACAGAGUAUGGCUGUCUAUGCUUUUAGGCAUCCCAGGCUCUCUGUGGGUACAUACAAGUGUAUAGUGAUUAGGGGCUGUGGCUGACUUUCUUCCAACUCCUGUCUUCAGAGAGGCUGCAUUGGAGAAAGGGUCAUACAGAAAAACACAGUCACGUAACUUCAUGUUUAAUAGUAAAAUCUAAAUUUCCCUAAACCGAGUGUGCUGUCCCCGUCACCUGGUGCUCCAUGUUUCUUGGCAUUGUUUCCCCUAAUGCCCACCCCAUCUUCAUGAUGAUUCAGGAGGAGGCGUUUUGAAAAUCUGCCUCCUGCUGGACAUUCACAGUGCCUUUGCCCAGCCCCACCCCCAGCGACAGAGUGAUCCAGGGGCGGGGUCUUGACCCACAUCGAGCUAAAUCACCCUCCUUCUCUAGAAUUGUACAACUGGAAAUGAGAAAGAAUGAGUGUCUUCCCAGUGGAUGAAAUUGUAACAUAGGCCUAUGUAGACUGUGUAACUGCAUGUGUGCAGUUAGCAAGAAGAUUAAAGCCACAGAGGGGGAGAUGCAGAGCUGAGGGGGUGAGGACAUCUCUGUAGCGUUCGGGUCCAGCUGUUCCUGAGGCUCAUCUUCAUCCCUACUCUCCCACGGCUUCUAACCUAGCAAUCUUCCAUAGAAUCCUCUUCUUUGCUAAGUUUUGUUCGAAUUGGAUUCUACCACCUGCAACCAAAGUUGCCUAAUUAUUACAAUGAAGAUUGAUCAUGUGCUGCCAAUAUGAACAAGUACACAGAAAUUGCAUUUUAAUGUCAGGGGUGUGUCCUAAAGACUUUCGAUAAUUUAUACUGGAUGAUAUUUCUGUUCCCAGCCCAGAUGACACGGCCAUGUACCAUUACUAUAAACACAAUGUGCAAUUUACUUGUUCUUCCAGCUUUGACUUGUGUCAAAGUUUGCAGGGUUGUUUGUCUUUUUCUUCUUCUUCCUUUUUUUUUUUUUUUUAGUAUUUAGAAUUUGGAGGUGGAAAGGGAGAUUUUUGGUGGUUAUAAAAGAUGCCCAAAAAUUCUCCCACAUUCCUCACUUCAAAAGAAUUAAGAUUUGGUUUUUAUAGAUCCUGUAAACAGUUUUCCAAAGUUAGUUGUAUUAAUUACCCUCCUACCAGCAGUAUAGCAGAUUUCUAGUUAUGCUAUAUUUUCAACAACAUUUGGUAUUGUGAGUCUUCUUCACUUUAGUCAUUUCACAUCAACAUAUCAUAUGUAGUUUGUGGGUAUGUAGUGAUAUCGCGUUAUAGUUUUAAUUUGCAUUUUCCUGAUGACUAAGGAAUUGAGCACCUUUUCACGUUUAUGGCCUUUUGGAUAGAUGACGUGCCUGCUCAAGUCUUUAGUCCAUUUUCCUAUUGGGUUGACUGCCUCUUAUGUUUUGAUUGAUUGAGUUUCAUUAUACGUUCUGGAUAUGCGUCCUUUAUCGGAUAUAUGUAGUGCAAAUAUCUUCUCCCACGUGUGGCUUCUUUUUCAUUCUCUUAGUAUCUUCUGGUGAACAGAAUUUUUUAUUUUAAUGAAAAUAAAAUGAAAAGAAAAACUCUUCAAUUUUUUUCUUUUGUGGUUGGUACUUUUUAUGUUUUGUUUGAGAAAUCUUUGCCCCAAGGACAUGAAGUUAUUCUCCUAUGUUUGCUUUUAAAAGUUUUAUGUUGGGGCCAGCCCAGUAGCAUAGUGGUUAAGUUCGCGUGCUCUGCUUCAGUGGCCCGGGGUUUGCAGGUUUGGAUCCUGGGCGCAGACCUAGC
ensembl:lncRNA